CCGGCGACCGGCGCAAGGGUGCGUAACGCGUGAGCAACGAUGCCCGUAUCAGGGGGAUAAUCCAUGGAAACGUGGUACUAAUACCCCAUAGUAAUUAUGUAAGGCAUCUUAUAUAAUUUAAAGCUUUGGUGGAUACGGAUUGGCUCGCGUGACAUUAGCUGGAUGGUAAGGUAACGGCUUACCAUGGCUACGAUGUCUAGGGGUUCUGAGAGGAAGGUCCCCCCACACUGGAACUGAGACACGGUCCAGACUCCUACGGGAGGCAGCAGUGAGGAAUAUUGGACAAUGGAUGGAAAUCUGAUCCAGCCAUGCCGCGUGCAGGAAAAGACGGCCCUAUGGGUUGUAAACUGCUUUUGUAUGGGAGCAAUAAGGGCUACGUGUAGUCCGAUGAGAGUACCAUACGAAUAAGCACCGGCUAACUCCGUGCCAGCCGCAGC
rnacentral:rRNA from 1 species